rnacentral:rRNA from 1 species
AUACGGAGGGGACAAGCGUUAUUCGGAAUCACUGGGCGUAAAGGACGCGUAGGCGGGUUAUUAAGUCGGGUGUGAAAUCCAAUGGCUCAACCAUUGAACUGCAUUCGAAACUGAUAACCUAGAGUAUGGAAGGGGCAGGUGGAAUUAGUGGUGUAGGGGUAAAAUCCGUAGAUAACACUAGGAAUACCGAAAGCGAAGGCGACCUGCUGGGACAUUACUGACGCUGAGGCGUGAAAGCGUGGGGAGCAAACAGGAGUAGAUACCCUAGUAGUCC